rnacentral:rRNA from 1 species
CUACGGGUCGCUGCAGUGGGGAAUAUUGCACAAUGGGCGAAAGCCUGAUGCAGCAACGCCGCGUGAGGGACGACGGCCUUCGGGUUGUAAACCUCUUUUAGCAGGGAAGAAGCGAAAGUGACGGUACCUGCAGAAAAAGCACCGGCUAACUACGUGCCAGCAGCCGCGGUAAUACGUAGGGUGCAAGCGUUGUCCGGAAUUAUUGGGCGUAAAGAGCUCGUAGGCGGUUUGUCGCGUCUGCUGUGAAAAUCCGAGGCUCAACCUCGGACCUGCAGUGGGUACGGGCAAACUAGAGUGCGGUAGGGGAGAUUGGAAUUCCUGGUGUAGCGGUGGAAUGCGCAGAUAUCAGGAGGAACACCAAUGGCGAAGGCAGAUCCCUGGGCCGUAACUGACGCUGAGGAGCGAAAGCGUGGGGAGCAAACAGGAUUAGAUACCCUCGUAGUC